rnacentral:misc_RNA from 1 species
GUGAAUCAUCGAAUCUUUGAACGCACCUUGCGCUCCCUGGCAUUCCGAGGAGCAUGCCUGUUUGAGUGUCGUUAAAUUCUCAGAGCCCUCCCCACAAGUUGGGUUCGGAUUGGUGGAGGAUGCAUUGGACUUGGACUUUUUGACUCCCUUUGCUUUGCUUCUCUGAAAUGGAUUGGCCUACGGCUGCGAUUCACGAACCUUGUCGUCGGUAUGAUAAUGUCUUACCUGCUUCUAACUCGUGCCAGCCCGGCCCAGACGAGAGACGGUCGUCUCUAUCUAUCUACAAUUUGACCUCAAAUC